rnacentral:rRNA from 1 species
GAUGAACGCUGGCGGCGUGCCUAAUACAUGCAAGUCGAGCGAACGGACGAGAAGCUUGCUUCUCUGAUGUUAGCGGCGGACGGGUGAGUAACACGUGGAUAACCUACCUAUAAGACUGGGAUAACUUCGGGAAACCGGAGCUAAUACCGGAUAAUAUUUUGAACCGCAUGGUUCAAAAGUGAAAGACGGUCUUGCUGUCACUUAUAGAUGGAUCCGCGCUGCAUUAGCUAGUUGGUAAGGUAACGGCUUACCAAGGCAACGAUGCAUAGCCGACCUGAGAGGGUGAUCGGCCACACUGGAACUGAGACACGGUCCAGACUCCUACGGGAGGCAGCAGUAGGGAAUCUUCCGCAAUGGGCGAAAGCCUGACGGAGCAACGCCGCGUGAGUGAUGAAGGUCUUCGGAUCGUAAAACUCUGUUAUUAGGGAAGAACAUAUGUGUAAGUAACUGUGCACAUCUUGACGGUACCUAAUCAGAAAGCCACGGCUAACUACGUGCCAGCAGCCGCGGUAAUACGUAGGUGGCAAGCGUUAUCCGGAAUUAUUAGGCGUAAAGCGCGCGUAGGCGGUUUUUUAAGUCUGAUGUGAAAGCCCACGGCUCAACCGUGGAGGGUCAUUGGAAACUGGAAAACUUGAGUGCAGAAGAGGAAAGUGGAAUUCCAUGUGUAGCGGUGAAAUGCGCAGAGAUAUGGAGGAACACCAGUGGCGAAGGCGACUUUCUGGUCUGUAACUGACGCUGAUGUGCGAAAGCGUGGGGAUCAAACAGGAUUAGAUACCCUGGUAGUCCACGCCGUAAACGAUGAGUGCUAAGUGUUAGGGGGUUUCCGCCCCUUAGUGCUGCAGCUAACGCAUUAAGCACUCCGCCUGGGGAGUACGACCGCAAGGUUGAAACUCAAAGGAAUUGACGGGGACCCGCACAAGCGGUGGAGCAUGUGGUUUAAUUCGAAGCAACGCGAAGAACCUUACCAAAUCUUGACAUCCUUUGACAACUCUAGAGAUAGAGCCUUCCCCUUCGGGGGACAAAGUGACAGGUGGUGCAUGGUUGUCGUCAGCUCGUGUCGUGAGAUGUUGGGUUAAGUCCCGCAACGAGCGCAACCCUUAAGCUUAGUUGCCAUCAUUAAGUUGGGCACUCUAAGUUGACUGCCGGUGACAAACCGGAGGAAGGUGGGGAUGACGUCAAAUCAUCAUGCCCCUUAUGAUUUGGGCUACACACGUGCUACAAUGGACAAUACAAAGGGCAGCGAAACCGCGAGGUCAAGCAAAUCCCAUAAAGUUGUUCUCAGUUCGGAUUGUAGUCUGCAACUCGACUACAUGAAGCUGGAAUCGCUAGUAAUCGUAGAUCAGCAUGCUACGGUGAAUACGUUCCCGGGUCU